rnacentral:rRNA from 1 species
CAGCAGCCACGGGAAUACGGAGGGUGCAAGCGUUAUCCGGAUUUAUUGGGUUUAAAGGGUCCGUAGGCGGACUUAUAAGUCAGUGGUGAAAGCCUGUCGCUUAACGAUAGAACUGCCAUUGAUACUGUAAGUCUUGAGUAUAUUUGAGGUAGCUGGAAUAAGUAGUGUAGCGGUGAAAUGCAUAGAUAUUACUUAGAACACCAAUUGCGAAGGCAGGUUACCAAGAUAUAACUGACGCUGAGGGACGAAAGCGUGGGUAGCGAACAGGAUUAGAUACCCCGGUAGUCCCUGUCUCUUAUAC